ACAUGCAAGUCGAGCGGUAGCACAAGGAGCUUGCUCCUGGGUGACGAGCGGCGGACGGGUGAGUAAUGUCUGGGAAACUGCCCGAUGGAGGGGGAUAACUACUGGAAACGGUAGCUAAUACCGCAUAACGUCUUCGGACCAAAGUGGGGGACCUUCGGGCCUCACACCAUCGGAUGUGCCCAGAUGGGAUUAGCUAGUAGGUGAGGUAAUGGCUCACCUAGGCGACGAUCCCUAGCUGGUCUGAGAGGAUGACCAGCCACACUGGAACUGAGACACGGUCCAGACUCCUACGGGAGGCAGCAGUGGGGAAUAUUGCACAAUGGGCGCAAGCCUGAUGCAGCCAUGCCGCGUGUGUGAAGAAGGCCUUCGGGUUGUAAAGCACUUUCAGCGAGGAGGAAGGGUUCGGUGUUAAUAGCACCGUUCAUUGACGUUACUCGCAGAAGAAGCACCGGCUAACUCCGUGCCAGCAGCCGCGGUAAUACGGAGGGUGCAAGCGUUAAUCGGAAUUACUGGGCGUAAAGCGCACGCAGGCGGUUUGUUAAGUCAGAUGUGAAAUCCCCGAGCUUAACUUGGGAACUGCAUUUGAAACUGGCAAGCUAGAGUCUUGUAGAGGGGGGUAGAAUUCCAGGUGUAGCGGUGAAAUGCGUAGAGAUCUGGAGGAAUACCGGUGGCGAAGGCGGCCCCCUGGACAAAGACUGACGCUCAGGUGC
rnacentral:rRNA from 1 species